GCUAGGCAUGGUAGUGCAUGCCUGUAAUCCUAGCUACUCAGGAGGCUGAGGCAGGAGAAUCACUUGAACCCGGGAGGUGGAGGUUGCAGUGAGCCGAGAUCGUGCCACUGCACUCCAGCCUGGGCAACAGAGUGAGAUUCUGUCUCAA
ensembl:misc_RNA Metazoa_SRP Metazoan signal recognition particle RNA